UUGCUGCUGUUCUCUAGGGAGUAUGUGCACACUUGUCAUCUUUAUAUUUCCACCUGUGCACCUUUUGUAGACCUGGAUAUAUCUCUGAAUGCGCUAGCAUUUGGGUUUGAGGAUUGACUUGUUGAUCUCUCUUCUUAUAUAUCCCAGGCCUAUGUUUCUUUCAUAUACACCCCACUUAUGUUAUAGAAUGUAAUAAAUGGGCCUUUGUGCCUAUAAAGCUAUACAACUUUCAGCAACGGAUCUCUUGGCUCUCGCAUCGAUGAAGAACGCAGCGAAAUGCGAUAAGUAAUGUGAAUUGCAAAUUCAGUGAAUCAUCGAAUCUUUGAACGCACCUUGCGCUCCUUGGUAUUCCGAGGAGCAUGCCUGUUUGAGUGUCAUUAAUAUAUCAACCUCCUCAGCUUUUGCUUGUUGAGUGUUGGAUGUGGGGGUUUUUCUUUGCUGGCUUCUUUUUGAGGUCAGCUCCCCUGAAAUGCAUUAGCGGAACAACGUGUUGACUGUUCAUUGGUGGAUAACUAUCUACGCUGUUGACAGGAAGCAAGUUCAGCUUCUAACAGUCCAUUGAAUUGGACAAUUUUUUCAUUAAUG
rnacentral:rRNA from 1 species